rnacentral:rRNA from 1 species
GACGAACGCUGGCGGCGUGCUUAACACAUGCAAGUCGAACGGAAAGGCCCUGCUUUUGUGGGGUGCUCGAGUGGCGAACGGGUGAGUAACACGUGAGUAACCUGCCCUUGACUUUGGGAUAACUUCAGGAAACUGGGGCUAAUACCGGAUAGGAGCUCCUGCUGCAUGGUGGGGGUUGGAAAGUUUCGGCGGUUGGGGAUGGACUCGCGGCUUAUCAGCUUGUUGGUGGGGUAGUGGCUUACCAAGGCUUUGACGGGUAGCCGGCCUGAGAGGGUGACCGGCCACAUUGGGACUGAGAUACGGCGCAGACUCCUACGGGAGGCAGCGGUGGGGAAUAUUGCACAAUGGGCGGAAGCCUGAUGCAGCAACGCCGCGUGCGGGAUGACGGCCUUCGGGUUGUAAACCGCUUUCGCAUGUGACGAAGCGUGAGUGACGGUAAUGGGUAAAGAAGCACCGGCUAACUACGUG